ensembl:snRNA U6 U6 spliceosomal RNA
GUGCUCGCUUUGGCAGCAUAUAUACUAAAAUUGGAAGAAUAUAGAGAAGAUUAGCAUGGCCCCUGCACAAGGAUGACAUGCAAAUUUGUGAAGCAUUCCAUAUUUAA